UCAGCUCGUGUCGUGAGAUGUUGGGUUAAGUCCCGCAACGAGCGCAACCCUUGUCUUUAGUUGCCAUCAUUCAGUUGGGCACUCUAAAGAGACUGCCGGUGUCAAACCGGAGGAAGGUGGGGAUGACGUCAAGUCCUCAUGGCCUUUAUGACCAGGGCUACACACGUACUACAAUGGCCGGUACAAAGGGCAGCCACUUAGCGAUAAGGAGCCAAUCCCGUAAAGCCGGUCUCAGUCCGGAUUGGAGUCUGCAACUCGACUCCAUGAAGUUGGAAUCGCUAGUAAUCGCAGAUCAGCACGCUGCGGUGAAUACGUUCCCGGGCCUU
rnacentral:rRNA from 1 species